UAGCCUCGGCGCAUGCGCACAGCCCGCCGGAGCAGGGAUCUAAUCAUGGACCAGGAGGUGACACCUAAGGGCGACACUAAAGACAAACCAGUCUCAAGUGUACAACAGAACGGACCAGAGGCUGAGCCCCUCACAAAACCUCAUCCGUUCACUUGGAAUCUGCUGCUUUCUGAUCCAAGGUAAAAGAAUCUACUAAAAUAAUAAAUUCACCCGACCCUGCAGGAGCCUGUGAUGUGUCUUUUGUUCUUUUUCCAGCUUUUGGUUUUGAGGCGCUGCUUUAAGAACACUUCUCAUGCAUCGCACCCAUUCACGUUCACGUUCGUGAAGAAUUAAAUUCAGUUUGUUUUUUUCCUCUUCCCGUCUUUCAUUCACACAUCUAUCUAUAUAAUAUUGAGAAUGCAAAAUACUGGAGAGGAGGUUGUUCCUGGCCAUUCAGAUGGGGGUACUCACAAAGGACAGGGAGAGAAUUCAGGUCAGUCAAGAAUACAGUGUCCUCAUCUCGAAGGUGGUGGAGUAUUACCAUCAGAUCAUUGGCCAGAAGGCUGCCAAAGUCCCCAAAUCCAAGAAAAAGGAUCUGCGGAUUAAUAUCACGGAUGCGGUGAACGCCGUGGGCCCGCACCUGCGCAGUGUGGAUGUCUGCAAGAAGAGAUAUCACGAUAUCAAGAGGCACGUGAAGAAAGAGUUGUCGGAGGCCGAAAAACAAAAGACGCUGAACGGCAGAGAUCCCCCAGGAGAUGUAGAACUCACUGACUAUGAAGAGGAAUAUUUUGAGCACUGAAAUGGCGGAUGGUGUCAAGAUCAAAGGAUACAUAGAUACUGGCCUUUCCUCAGAGAUGUUUCAGGACUUGAUGGGCUUUGGGGCGUCUCCUUUGGAUCUACAUCUUCCGAUGAAAAUCAGGAGAUCAUUGUGACAAACGUGGACCCUCAAGACAUUGAAGCCAUGUCAGGCCUGGAGAAUGUUCAUCAUCAGGAAACUUUACGGUAGACUGUGAACCUUUGCCUGACAAAAAAACCUGAAGAGUGUCCAUCGUCAGGGGAAAGCUCUGCAAGAGUUGGGCGGUAGUAUACAACGCUUACAUGCAGAGGUGGUGGCCAUGAAUCACAUGCUGGACCUUCUAGCCACCAACCAAGAGAAAACAAGGGAAGAUACUGCACACUAUCGAGAAGAGACGGCCCGGUAUCGGGUAAAUGAGCUCAGACUUCUCAAGGAAGCCAAUGAAAUUUUGCAGCCAAAAGGCUUUCAAAGGAAUCUGCCAUGGAUACAAACUUUCACCGUCAGAACCUUCAAACAGGGGAAGGCAGGCCAAGUACCGUGCGGAGGACUGCUGUACGCACAAGGGGAGGAGCUUCUGCUUCAAGUGCUCGCAAAGGGGGGAAAGUAUAAGGAUUAUUGACUUUUGUUGGCAUGGGGGGGGUAGUAUUUUGUGUUAUAUAUUGGCUACUUUUUAGAAUUACAGCACUUCGUGAUUGACUUAACAGGGUACUCCGCCCCUAGACAUCUUAUUUCCUAUCCAAAGGAUAGGGGAUAAGAUGUCUGAUUGCGGGGGUCCCACCGCUGGGGAUUCCUGCGAUCUUGGCUGCAGCACCCCAAACAUCCGGCGUAUGGAACCGGUGUAUGAACUUCGCUCCGUGUCGGAUGACUGGCAAUGUGGGCGGAGGCUUGUGACAUCACAGCCACUCUCAUGAUGUAACAGCCAUGCCCCCUCAAUGCAAGUCUAUGGAGGGGGUGCGACGGCCGUGGGCAUUUAUCACAAUUGUUGGCAUGGCCGUGUCCAUCGUUCAUGAGAAGGUUCUCGCCAGAAGUUUCGUCACAGACUGGUGGUGUACAAUAUGAACGUGCCAAAUUUUUCUGCCCUGUUGGGACUUUUUAACCUGAGCCUUCGGUUGCUACCUUAUUAUACAGAAGCACCGCCUACUCAGAAAUGCCACACCCUGUUCAUCAUGGAGGUAUGUGGCUUCUAAUAGGGAGUAUGGAAAGCCUCUGCAUUUUAUAAGUAAUGGCAGUGGGUGGGAUAUAAUAUGUUUACAUGUUCAGUAUAGAGAUUACCCCUGUUCUCCACUUAAUGUCUUUAAUGGCACUACUGGGGCAUGAGUUUUGCAUGAAUUUAGAAAUAUUUUAUCAUGACAAAUUGAUGACUCAAUAGGAAUUAAAGAGAUGACAAUGGCACAUGCUUUUCUCCUUGUACUCUGUGUUUCUCUUUACAUGAUGGUGAUAUAUGUAAAAUAGGCACUGCCAUUUUAAUGAACUUUGCUUCCUAGUUCAUUCUGGGGUCAGGUUACAUGCUGCCUAUAGAAGUCUAUGGAAAAGGGAGGGGAAAAGAAGAUACAGAUAGCGAGAUAGAGACAAAGGCUUUAUUAAAGUGUUUAACUAUUAAUCCCAGUGUUGGAUUCACAGUGACACUACUCUUUACGGAUGUAUAAUGUCCCUCAUGCUGCUGCGUCUUCUGAGGGUGGAUGCAGAACUGGGGGGAAUCUUGAAACAUUAAACUAAAGCCUGCAGCAUCACUUUGUGCCCUCCUUUUUCACUACACAUCCUUUCUUCUCCUUAGAGUUCUAUGGGUAGCAUGUAAUCUGGUCCCUCAACGAGGCUGAUAAUUUGUCUCUCAAGAUGGAUUUUAGUAGGAAAUUAAGGAUGAGUGAUCAGUGUAGAGGCAGGGGAGGAGAGGCAUCUAACGUGGAAGAAAAAGGGGCAUGGGUCUGUAAUAAGAUAUAUUAUUAAGAACUCUGCCACAUGAUGUUGUGGUGCUUGAUUCAUUGAGCAAGUUCAAGAAGGUCCUGGGAAGUCUUUCUUAAAAAAUUUAAUAUUAUUGGAACUAGACUUUUAAAGCUGGAACUUCGAUUCAGGGAUUUAUUCUGGUUUCCAAAUUUGGAGUCAGGCAUGCAUUUUUACCCUCGUAUCGGACAAUUCGCAUCUGCCUGAAAAGGGCUUUUCCCUUCUUCUGGAUUAACACAAUAGGGUUAUAGGCUGAAGUUGAUUGACUCAAUUAUGUAACUAUGACCUUUAUAUGCAUUGUUGGUGACUUGACAGAAAGAAUUGUGGACUCCAGUGAUAUACAGCUACAAGUUUGCUGCAGAUUGAUCCCCUAUAGAAUUCUAGAAGAAAAACACAAAGUAUACACAUGACAGAGGGAGGCCUCCUAUAUUAAGUGGGUCUCUAUUACUAAUGUCUCCUAUGUAGUUUACACAGGAACGCCCCCUCCCAUGAAUGGAGGGGCAUGGCCGUGAUGUCACGUCCCCGUCUCGGAGGCAGCUUCCGGAACAGAAUGCCGAGGGCUGCACAGAGAUUGCGGAGUCCCCAGCUGCGGGACUCCAGCGAUCAUACAUCCUUUGGAUAGGGGAUAAAAUGUAUAAAGCCGGAAUACCCCUUUAAUGGGGCUGACCUGUGAUACCAGGCACAGCCACUUUAGUACCUGUUGGGUUAAUUGAAAUGUCACUGAGCUGCAGUACCAGGCACAGCCACCUUGGUAUAUGUUGGGCUAUGCUUGUGUGUAGAAUGUAGGAAACACAGCUUAUUUGGGUGGGGAACUGAUUAAACACUGAUAGUUUAUCCCAAAGCUAGGCCAUCAGUCUUUACUUUCUGAAAUACCCCUUUAAGUGAAGUGUACGAAGGGAUUUAUUGGGGCAGCGUUAAAGGGGUACUCUGCCCCUAGACAUCUUAUCCCCUAUCCAAAGGAUAGUGAAAAAAAUGUCUGAUCGUGGGUGUCCUACCGCUAGGGACCCCUGCAAUCUCCGUGCUGCACCCGGCAUUCGUUUAGAGCGUUGGGUUAAGCGCAGGAGGCUCGUGAUGUCACGGCCCCACCCCCUCAAUGCAAGUAUAUAGAUCAUGAUGUCACGAGCCUCUGCCCCGCAUCACCAGUCAUCCGGCAGGGAGCGGGUGCCGCAGCCGAGAUCACGGGGGUCCCCAGCGGCUGGACUCCCUUAAUCAGACAUCUUAUUCCCUAAGAUGUCCAGGGACGGCGUACCCCUUUAAUCGCUCAUAGCCCUAAAUCUCGCACAUAAAUAUUUCUUCCUUCAUCUGCUUAAUGUGAGUAGAGAUGAGCGAAGUUACAGUGAUUCGAUUCGUCACAAACUUCUCGGCUCGUCAGUUGCUGACUUUAUCCUGCAUAAAUUAGUUCAGCCUUCAGGUGCUCCGGUGGGCUGGAAAAGGUGGAUACAGUCCUAGGAGAGAGUCUCCAGCCCACCGGAGCACCUGAAAGCUGAACUAAUUUGAUGCAGGCUAAACUCAGCAAAUGUGGAGCCGCGAGGUUCGUGACGAAUCGAAUUUCUGAAACUUCGCUCAUCUCUAAAUGUGAGAACAUAACAAUUUGCCAACACGGUGCAUGGACAAGGGCCAAGUAUCCAAUGAGCAAUGAACCUGUAGAGCAGUCUUCAGCCAAUGGUGCCCAAGAACAAUGGAGCAUUCACUUGAUGAAGGUUACCUGUCAUGGAAAACCUGUGGUGACAUAGGAAGAAGGAAAUGGCAGCACAAGAUAAGGGAGGAUGUGCUGAGACCAGUACAAAAAAAAACAAUAAAGUUUAUUCAGAUUAUGUUUAUAGGGUUCUGAUGUUUCCUCAUCCUGGAUGUCUUGAAGUAGUAUGGAUGUGACCUUCAAGCUUACAGCUCCUGCCUGCAAAAUAAGAAAAAGCAUUACUAUAGGGGAAUGAUUAUUACUAAAGAAACCCAAAAACUACGAGCUAAAGGGUUGUAAAGGGCAAAGAAAAAAAAUCCAUGUAUAGCCAAGUACUUAAAGAUGGCUUUAAAGGCUUAGACUAUUCUUGAAAGUGCUUAACUCUUCACAGGAUGACUUUAGGGCUUUUACUGCUGUUAUUGAGCCCAAGAUGCCCCUUCAUGAUGCACAACUAUUUCUCAUUCUUUCCAUUUCAGUGAGCGUGGCCACUUCUUGGCUCUUUGCCAGUUGUACACAUACAUGGACUUCCUUUCCCUUACUUCUUUGGCAAAGCACAUACUGUAAUUCACUCUGCUAUCUGGACUGAACAUUGGGCAGUAUGCUGGGCUAAUGAUUUACAAAGUACACUACUAUAGAUAACAUGAGAAGGGGUUACUGGUGCACUCAACUGAACAGGCUGCAGUAUACUGGGCUGAUGAUUUACACAGUACACUACUAUAGAUAACAUGAGAAGGGGUUACUGGUGUAUUCGACUGAACAGGCUGCAGUAUGCUGGGCUAAUGAUUUACAAAGUACACUACUAUAGAUAACAUGAGAAGGGGUUACUGGUGUACUCAACUGAACAGGCUGCAGUAUACUGGGCUGAUGAUUUACACAGUACACUACUAUAGAUAACAUGAGAAGGGGGUUACUGGUGUACUCGACUGAACAGGCUGCAGUAUGUUGGGCUGAUGAUUUACACAGUACACUACUAUAGAUAAGUAAAGGGAAAAAGGGGUUACUAGUUCACUGGGUUUGUAAAGAGAAAGGAAAGAAACAACAGGAUAACAGCAAGGAAAGGGUUACACUAGACAAUGAGCUGCUACUGUUGCUUCUGCUGACAACAUAGAGGAAUAAUGGACAUACAGCACUAGGUGCAGUAGUGUAUAUACAAGGAAAAGCUGGCCUUAGCCUUAUGGGUGGUGAAAGGAAAGCUUGAUUUACCUUUCAGGGACAGUGUGGUUGAUCUCCAGCAGGCAGACAGGCUUAACGUGCAGGUACACAGCCCAAGCUUUCUUGGGUCUCAUUAUCUCCUCCACAUAGCAUAUGAUAAUCCCCACCCAAACUUCCUGUAAUUUGUCCGAAUCUAGCUGUUUCUAGAGACAGAUUUCCCCUACCAGCAUGUAGCGGACAGCAGAUAGAAGUGAGACAUCUACUGGCCAAUUUAGAGCUAGGGUAAGGAGUUAUUUUUGGUAAAUGAAGUGAUUUACAAUUUGUUAACUUUCACAUUGGCUGUCUAUGGCAUGAGGGAAGAAGUUGUUUGAAAUGACAGUGAUUAUUUUAAGAUUGGAAAAGCAUUUAAGUGAUAUUUCAAUUCAAUAGGAUUGUCAGGAAUCAUCCCUGGGUGUGGCUAUUGACAUUCAAGUAAGUCGUCAACUGAAUUGAUUAUCUAGUGGAUUUAGUAGCAGAACCCAUUUCACCAAGUGGACAUAAGUCUCCAUCUCCAAUUGAUGAGGAAGAUACAACAAAGAAGGAUAAACCCAACCAUAAAAUACAGUGCCGGAAGUCCAACAGCCAAAAAAACACUGAGAU